GACGUAGGAGGCAAGCGUUGUCCGGAAUCAUUGGGCGUAAAGGGCGCGUAGGUGGCCCGGUCAGUUCGUGGUGAAAGCGCGGGGCUCAACCCUGCGUCGGCCAUGAAUACUGCCGCGGCUGGAGCACUGUAGAGGCAGGCGGAAUUCCGGGUGUAGCGGUGGAAUGCGUAGAGAUCCGGAAGAACACCGGUGGCGAAGGCGGCCUGCUGGGCAGUUGCUGACACUGAGGCGCGACAGCGUGGGGAGCAAACAGG
rnacentral:rRNA from 1 species